rnacentral:rRNA from 1 species
GACGAACGCUGGCGGCGUGCUUAACACGUGCAAGUCGAACGAAAAUACCAAGCUUGCUUGGUUGAUUAGUGGCGAACGGGUGAGUAACACGUGAGUAACCUGCCCCUUACUUUCCUGGAUAACUGCUCGAAAGGGUAGCUAAUACGGGAUAUUCUGACCAGCCUGCAUGGGUUGGUUUGGAAAGGUUGUUUUUCUGGUAAGGGAUGGGCUCGCGGCCUAUCAGCUUGUUGGUGGGGUGAUGGCCUACCAAGGCUUUGACGGGUAGCCGGCCUGAGAGGGUGGACGGUCACACUGGGACUGAGAUACGGCCCAGACUCCUACGGGAGGCAGCAGUGGGGAAUAUUGCACAAUGGGCGCAAGCCUGAUGCAGCGACGCCGCGUGAGGGAUGAAGGCCUUCGGGUUGUAAACCUCUUUCGUCAGGGAACAAGGCACUGCUUUUUUGGUGGUGUUGAGGGUACCUGGAUAAGAAGCGCCGGCUAACUACGUG